GCGAGUGAAGCGGCAAAAGCUCAAAUUUGAAAUCUGGUUGCCCUGCAGCCCGAGUUGUAAUUUGAAGAUGGCGACUCUGGGCCCGGCCCUUGCUUAUGUUCCUUGGAACAGGACGUCACAGAGGGUGAGAAUCCCGUGCGGCGAGGAGACCCGGGUCCUUGUAGAGUGCCUUCGAAGAGUCGAGUUGUUUGGGAAUGCAGCUCUAAGUGGGUGGUAAAUUCCAUCUAAAGCUAAAUAUUGGCGAGAGACCGAUAGCGAACAAGUACAGUGAUGGAAAGAUGAAAAGAACUUUGAAAAGAGAGUGAAAAAGUACGUGAAAUUGUUGAAAGGGAAGGGUAUUAGAUCAGACUUGGUGUUGCGGGGACACCCCUCCCUUUCUGGGGGGGGAUUACUCCCUGCGGGCUGGGCCAGCAUCGAUUCGGAUGGCGGGAGAAUGGCAGGGAGAAUGUGGCAGGGGUCCUUUGUGGCUGCUGUGUUAUAGCUCCGUGCAGACGCCGCCUGUCUGGAUCGAGGAGUGCGUCUUUUUAGACUAGGAUGCUGGCGUAAUGAUCUAACACCGCCC
rnacentral:rRNA from 1 species